ACAGCUGCCCUUUGAGCUACUGGGAGGGAACAUCGCCAAAGGAGGGUCAGUGAAUGGGAGGUCUCCACGUGCGAGACCCAAGUGGUAGCCAAGAUGGUGGCCCCAGGCACACAUGGGACCCUCCUGCGGACUCCUCAGGCAGUUUGUGGGAAUUUGAAGGUGCUGGGAUUCUGCAGAACAGAAGAGAUGAGCACGCAGACACACCCAGGGAGGAGGCGGCAUCUACAAGCCAAGGAGGGAGGCAGCAGAGGAAACCCACCCAGCUGACAUCUUGAUCCGGGACUUCUGGUUUCCAAGACGGUUCCUACACUGAGGGAAAAUUUUGUCCAAUUUGGGUACAAUUCUGGUAAGAAUAAAAUUCCAAUCUAGAAGUGGGAAACUGUUCAAAUUUUGUAUCUAUAGCAAUAACCAGUUUUAUGAGGCCUCCCCUAGACCUUCUUCCUAACCCUUCCAUACAACCAGGCUUUGUUUUUCUGGCAUAGAAAAUCGGAAAAACAAUUCUCCGGCACUUUUCUCCUGAACUCCUACUUUGCCAAGCUCUACAAAUGAAACCACACGUUUUUAUUUCCUCUCCUGGUCUAUCACAAGAUGUUUUGAUUUUCACUCUUGGGGUUGUUCUCCAGAUCUUGUUAUGAAAGACCUGGGGAUGGUUAAUUUGAUGUGCCAACUUCACGAGGCGGAGGAAGGCCCGGGAGAACUGGUAAACAUUAUUUCUGGGUGUGUCUGCGAGGGUGUUUCCCGAAAACAUUAACAUUUGAAUUGGUAGACUUAGCAAAGACGGCACUUGUCAGUGUGAGUGGCCAUCAUCCAACCCGCUUGAGGGCUCGGAGAGAACUAGGUGGUGCUCUCUUUGCCUGAGCUGAGGCUUCCAUCCGCUCCUGCUCUCAGACCUCGGGGCCCCGGUUCUCCCAGAGCGUGGGCCUCCCGAAUCUCAGGCCUUUGGACUCCGACUGAAGCCAAGACUACACACCACUGGCUUUCCUGGGUCUCCAGCUUGAAGACUGCACAUCAAGGGACUUCCCUACCUGCAUGAUUGCAUGAGCUAGUUCCUUUAACGAAUGUUCUCUUAUUUGUGUCCAUGUAUAUUUCCUAUUGGUUCUGUUUCUCUGGAGAACCAGUACAGACUUCUUCACAUAUCAGCUAGUGAAUGUAUAAGCCUGACUUAGGUUGUGUCUAUUUUUGGGAAAGGCAAAAACACGGCACCACCAGGAGGUAGGGUUUUAAUGAUUUAAAAAGGGCUUGUGAUAGAAUACGAGUCUACUAUUUACUAUCUUGCAUAAGCUACUUAAACUUUCUAAGCCUCUCCUUCCUCUAAAAUGAGAAAACAAUUACUUAACUGAGAUCAUAUAAUUUAAUGAGAUGGUUUAUGUAAAAAUAUUCAGCAACAUAAGUAUAAAAUACUCAAAGAACUAUAAUAAAGCAAUCUAUCGUUAUUAACUAUUGCAAUUGUGCUUUGAUUGGGAGGCAGGAAAAGGAAAGAGAAGGAAGGGUUAAGGGCUUGGGUAUGGUCUUGCACUACAUGGAGGAGGGACGGGGUGCAGGAGAGAGAAAUUUAGAGUGGUGGUUGUAGAGAGCCACAAAUUGCUCUAGUAUCAUCUCUCAAAGGGCCAACUCUGGCUAAUGCAUUCUACAAGAACAUUAUACCUGUUCCCCACCAAAUUCCUGGGGGAUUCAGAAGCUUUUAAUAUACUUUGUCCCAUAAAGUAUUGUAGGCAGAAUAGUGGCUCACCAAAGUUGUCUGUGUCUUAAUUUCUAGAGUAUGUAAGUAUGUUACCUUACAUGGCAAAAGGGACAUUGCAGAUGUAAUAAGGACUAUGUACCUUGUCAUAGGGAAAUUAUCCUAGUUUAUCUAAGAUCCAUCUAUCCAUAUAAGCCCUCAACAGUGGAAAAGGAAGGCAGAAGAGUCAGUCAGAUAGAUGUGGCAGAAAGAGAGAGGCGAGGGUCAGUGCCUGGAGGUACUCACCCCCCUACAGCUGGCUUCGAAGAAGAGGAAGGGGGCCAUGAGCCAAGGAUGCAGAGAACCUCUAGAACCCAGGUAAGGCCCCCAGCUGACAAUCAGCAAGGCAAUGGGGACUGAGUUCUGCAGUAAUGCACAUGAUGGAACCCACUUGUCCUCUAGAUUCUCCAGAGAGAAAUGCUGCCCUGCCAAUAACGGGGUUUUAGCCCCGUGAAAUCCAUGCUGGACUUUUGACAUGGAGAAUUGUAAGAUAGUAAACUUGUGUCAUUUAAGCCACUAAAGUAGAGGUAAUUUGUUUUGGCAGUAAUAUAAAACUAAUACACGGAGGUAAGGAUAAAAGCUUUAUUUGAUGUCAUCCAUCCAUUCAUUGGUUCAUUUAUUCAUUUUUCAAACAUUCAUCGAGCAGCUAUAGUGAACCAGGCACUGAGCCAGUUGCUGAUAAUAAAAGCGUGAGUAAGAUCGCAACAAGUGUGAGUAAGGUCCUUCCACUUACCAGAAAAAGCUUUCCAACUCCCUAAACAACUUGUUCUGCCUUAAUUCUCUGAACUAUUUAACCUCCUCUCCUGCCUACGAUUUCAAAACACUUAGUCACAGUGGCGGGGGUGUGUGUGGUGUUUUGCAAACUCAUUGGCAUGGAUGUAGCAUUGGAAAGUUAAAGAAAAACAAAAGGCUUUUCCCCUCUCGGUCUAUGUCCAGUGAGAUCAUGGCUUUGCUGCCCUUCAAUAUGCAGCUUUGGUCACUCAGUAAACAACGAUAUCGCACUGCAGCUGCUCAGUGACACCGUGACGUCCUCCUUGCUCAGAAAAGCACUCUCUAUACGACUGCCUAGGCCAGGGCUUCCAAAUCUUGGUGUGCCUAAGAAUCACUGGGAAGGCUUAUUAAAACACAGGCUCCUGGGCCUCAGCCCCAGAGAUUCUGAUUCAGUAGGUCUGGGCUGGGACCUGAGAAUCUGAGUUUCUAACAAGCUCCCAAAUGAUGCUUUCUGUUCACAGGCCAUACUUUGAGUGUCUUUGUUGGGUCGCUCCUUAUUUAUUUGUAGAGUUGAUGGAACCAGGAUAGGCAGAAGUGGACAAACCCCAAGAACACGUAGCAUAUCGGCUAGUUGGUGCCAUGCUUUCGAAUACCUGAGCCCUGAGAGUUCUCCACCCUGAUCCCUCCCAUUUUCUUCCCAGACGGGACUUCCCUGCCCUCCUAGGGUGACCUGGGAUGCUCUGCAAUUGGCACAAUCUCAGACCACUAAGAAGUAAGGGAGAAGAGGGGAGAGUGAGUGGUGUUUCCCUAGCCCAGAGUCCAGACAAAGGGGCCUGAUGACCUUGCCUUCAUAAACAGCAUCCUUAUUGAUAAUGUAAAAAGACAAAACAAAACAGUGAACUUACACAACUCGGUAUGAGGACAGGUCAUGUGUCCCACUGAAAGGCAAGCAAGGUGAUCACACAAGGUGCUCUGUGGACACAGAGAGUGUCACAUGCCAUUGCAGUAUCUCCCCGUCCCCAGCCUCUGUUAACAUCCUCUCACCAAAUUCUGCUGCCCUUUAUUUUCCAUGAGCUUUUUAAAGUCAGAGGGCACACUAGAAUGUACUGACACAGACACCUGAGUACAUGUACAGUGAAUCCAGGCAAUCUUGAACUUCUAAACUGAGUUCUUGCAUAUGUCACAUCACUUUGAUUGGCUGUAUAGAUUCUCGUUCUUCUUUUUAAGAUUCAGAAAGAUAAAAUGAGGCUUUGGGGCUUUGGUCUAUUAUUGGGAAAAAUUCUAAAAGCAAUUGAAAUACUAAAGCAUCUUCUCCAUCGUUUGAAAAAGCAGAAGUGUCAUAAAUGUCAGGACUUUGUCAAAUACUGUUUGCUUCAUUGAAAGGAAAUAGAUCACCUUGUUGUAGAAAUUGGUUUUUUUGCUUAGGUCCUCUUUCUAAACAAAAGAUAUUUCUAGACCUUCAGAAGAUAGUUUACCUCCAGAUGCUUGUAGCAAUGUCAUUUCCUUCAUGCUAGGUCUCUGAAAAAUGAAAAAGACUUGAUGUAUGAACUUUUACAUAUCUAUAAAUCUCUUUUCUUUUAACAAGGGUAAAAGACCAUUAUUGCUUUUAUUUGGCAAAUGAUUGUUUAGUUUUGUUUAGCUCUAAUGCAGGGAUUCCUAACUUGUUUUCUGCCAUGAGCCUCUCUGGAUAUCUGUUGAUGCCUACAGACCCCUUUGAAGAAUUUUGUUUCGAGAGCAUUAAAAACACCACAUAUAGGUCUACAAAUAAAAACAAUAAUCUAUAAUUGCAGUUACCUAAAUAUUAAGUCAAAUUUGUGAUAUGGUAAUACAUGCACUUCUUAUUGAUGCAUUAAUUAUGGUCUAGCAGCCAGGCUACUACCUACAAUAAUUUUGAAGUAGUGAUACACAAGAACAGUAUUUCAGGUAUCUGUAACAAUUUUGAUUGGUAUGAAUGAAUAUAUCUGUAAUUUCCACUGGAAAUAAAGACACAGUUGUUUACUACUAUGGCUUGUUGUCUACAUUCUUAAAUGAAGGAAAUUUAUAAAUUUCAGAUAGAGGUUAGUGCAAAUAAAGAUACAAUUAGUCUCUUCCAGGUCCACAGGCUCUGUGAAUUCCAUCCGUAGACAUCCUUGAGGAUCGGUGGGCCACAAUUUGACAAAAUCUGCCUGAAGCACCCUCACUUCAAUGUCUUCCUUCCCUCUGAGCUUCGUUUCAUGAACUGUGAAUUUUAAUGAGCUCAAGAAAAGGAUUUCUGUGCAUCAGCCACCCUGUAACAAGUGGAUGUCAUCGUCCUUCCGUGGGGAACACUUCUAGGCUCCCUAUGAAAUUCCAGAAACUAUAAUGAUGAGUCUCUGACCCUCAGGGAGUUUGAAUUAUUCAGGAACAUACUGAUUCAUUGUCUUUGAAACUUUUCUAAACAACACUGAAGUAUAUCUACUAAAUACAAAAAAAAAAAGUUUAUUCUCCCUCCCCUCGUCCACUCCCUUGCCGAGAUGGAAAUCACUGUUGCCAAUGCAUUUAUGUAUGAUGUAUACCUCUUAAUUCUCUGACCUUCAUAUGUCAGUGGGAACAUGGAUAUAUUAUCAUACUUAGCAGUAACUGGGAAAAAAGAAAGUACUCAACUUAUUUCAGCAAGUUUGAUAUCUUCUGGUUGAAGCCCCCAAAGAUUAGCAAUAUUUUCUCUCACAUGCAAAAAAUCUCAGGAAAGUUCGCUCAGACCCAUGGGUCAGAUGCCAACUUUUGGUCCAGUCACUUGACAGGGAUGCAUGUAGAGUUGUUACCUGGCUGUUUCUACAGCAAC